rnacentral:tRNA from 1 species
GCUGGGGUGGCUCAGUGGUAGAGCUCCUGCCUAGAAUGUAGUAGGCCUUGGGUUCGAUCCCCAACACUGCA